AGUGAACGCUGGCGGUAGGCCUAACACAUGCAAGUCGAACGGCAGCACAGGAGAGCUUGCUCUCUGGGUGGCGAGUGGCGGACGGGUGAGGAAUACAUCGGAAUCUACUUUUUCGUGGGGGAUAACGUAGGGAAACUUACGCUAAUACCGCAUACGACCUACGGGUGAAAGCAGGGGACCCUCGGGCCUUGCGCGAUUGAAUGAGCCGAUGUCGGAUUAGCUAGUUGGCGGGGUAAAGGCCCACCAAGACGACGAUCCGUAGCUGGUCUGAGAGGAUGAUCAGCCACACUGGAACUGAGACACGGUCCAGACUCCUACGGGAGGCAGCAGUGGGGAAUAUUGGACAAUGGGCGCAAGCCUGAUCCAGCCAUACCGCGUGGGUGAAGAAGGCCUUCGGGUUGUAAAGCCCUUUUGUUGGGAAAGAAAUCCAGCUGGCUAAUACCCGGUUGGGAUGACGGUACCCAAAGAAUAAGCACCGGCUAACCUCGUGCCAGCCGCCGCGGUAA
rnacentral:rRNA from 1 species